rnacentral:rRNA from 1 species
AUGUCAAAAACCACCUUAUGCAAUUGGGUGCCUUCCCAAGUCUCCGAACCCAUCCUUAAGGAUUAUCAAGCUCAAGGCUUUUUGCCGGCUCAAGAAGAGAUUGGUUGGCGAGCCGGCCAAGGAGACGAUGUUCCACGACCCGACGAAGGAGAAGUCGUGAUGUUUGUAGACCAUCUCCAUAGAGGCUUCUCCCCGCCCGAGUCAAAAUUCACUUGGGACGUCUUAAGCUACUUCAACCUUCAUCCUCAAGAUCUGGGCCCAAACUCCAUAUCCAACAUCUGCCACUUUCAAAUCAUAUGUGAAGCAUAUCUGCAGACAGAGCCUACUGUUGCCCUUUUCAAGGAAUUCUUCUAUAUGAACCGCCAAACAAAAUGUGCAGACGGUCCGAGCCUAGAACUCGGCGGAAUUUCAAUCCAGAGACGUAGAGACGGCUGUUUGCCUGCAGCUACCUUACCAAACCAUCCCAAGGGAUGGAUAAGACUUGGUUUUAUUGCAAGAAUACCGUCCCAACUAAUGAGAACCCCUUGCUGGGUUACAGAGAGGACCGCCUUCCCAUGGACUUGGAUCUCCCAAGCCGAAACAUUGCAUAGGAGCAUGUUGAAGCCACCUCAAUCUACCAAAAACUCAGGGCUUUACUUGCUAAUGGUUUAA